GAUGAACGCUAGCUACAGGCUUAACACAUGCAAGUCGAGGGGAAACGACAUCGAAAGCUUGCUUUUGAUGGGCGUCGACCGGCGCACGGGUGAGUAACGCGUAUCCAACCUGCCCACCACUUGGGGAUAACCUUGCGAAAGUAAGACUAAUACCCAAUGAUAUCUCUAGAAGACAUCUGAAAGAGAUUAAAGAUUUAUCGGUGAUGGAUGGGGAUGCGUCUGAUUAGCUUGUUGGCGGGGUAGCGGCCCAACAAGGCUACGAUAAGUAGGGGUUCUGAGAGGAAGGUUCGCCACAUUUGAACUGGGACACGGGCCAAACCCCUACGGGAGGCAGCAGUGAGGAAUAUUGGUCAAUGGACGAGAGUCUGAACCAGCCAAGUAGCGGUCAGGAUGACGGCCCUAGGGGUUGUAAACUGCUUUUAUAAGGGAAUAAAGUGGGAGUCGUGACUCCUUUUGCAUGUACCUUAUGAAUAAGGACCGGCUAAUUCCGUGCCAGCCGCCGCCGUAA
rnacentral:rRNA from 1 species